ACAAAGGGCAGCGAAACCGCGAGGUCAAGCAAAUCCCAUAAAGUUGUUCUCAGUUCGGAUUGUAGUCUGCAACUCGACUACAUGAAGCUGGAAUCGCUAGUAAUCGUAGAUCAGCAUGCUACGGUGAAUACGUUCCCGGGUCUUGUACACACCGCCCGUCACACCACGAGAGUUUGUAACACCCGAAGCCGGUGGAGUAACCUUUUAGGAGCUAGCCGUCGAAGGUGGGACAAAUGAUUGGGGUGAAGUCGUAACAAGGUAGCCGUAUCGGAAGGUGCGGCUGGAUCACCUCCUUUCUAAGGA
rnacentral:rRNA from 1 species